rnacentral:misc_RNA from 1 species
GAUGAAGAACGUAGCGAAAUGCGAUAAGUAAUGUGAAUUGCAGAAUUCAGUGAAUCAUCGAAUCUUUGAACGCACAUUGCGCCCGCCAGUAUUCUGGCGGGCAUGCCUGUCUGAGCGUCAUUUCAACCCUCAUGCCCCUAGGGCGUGGUGUUGGGGAUCGGCCAAAGCCCGCGAGGGACGGCCGGCCCCUAAAUCUAGUGGCGGACCCGUCGUGGCCUCCUCUGCGAAGUAGUGAUAAUCCGCAUCGGAGAGCGAUGAGCCCCUGCCGUUAAACCCCCAACUUUCCAAGGUUGACCUCAGAUCAGGUAGGAAUACCCGCUGAACUUAAGCAUAUCAAUAAGCGGAGGA